UAAAAGGGUCGGUUGGCUAAAUAUGCCACGUUCAUCCUAGAUUGGUGAAUGCUGUAUGGCUAUCAAGACAUAUGGCCGACAUAAUUUCUGGAACUCAAAAAGGGUUGGCUCCCCUGGCCGACCCUGUAA
rnacentral:snRNA from 2 species